rnacentral:rRNA from 1 species
UACAGAGGGGGCAAGCGUUGUUCGGAAUUACUGGGCGUAAAGCGCGCGCAGGCGGCGGUGCUGGCCCGGCGUGAAAGCCCCCGGCUCAACCGGGGAGAGUCGUCGGGGACCGCACCGCUUGAGGGCGGUAGGGGCUGGUGGAAUGCCUGGUGUAGUGGUGAAAUGCGUAGAGAUCAGGCAGAACACCUGGGGCGAAGGCGGCCAGCUGGGCCGUCCCUGACGCUGAGGCGCGAAGGCGUGGGGAGCGAACGGG